GUUGCCAACCUCCAUUAAAAUGUAAAAGAAGACGUGCUCCGUGCUGCGCAUGCGCUGCAUAUUAUCCAGGAAAUUUGAGAUGGAUGGAGGAAAACGGGCUUGACAGCACCCGUUUCCUUUCGAGUAGAGUGUGAAUUGACAGUGUGAAUCCUGAAAAGUCUCCAAAAGCCUCAUUGUGUUACACAACCUGCCAAAACCAACACAGCCGUUAAAGAAAUGCGUUGGCUAAUAAUAGUAUUGCGACAUGAGUCCUCAGGCUUCUAACCGCUAGCUUACAGAUUCGGUCGCUAAUUAGGUUACACAAUAAGCUGUUCAGGUUAAACAAUUACGUUGUUUUUGGCAGAAAUUCAAUCGCAAAAAUUAAAAAGUGAACCACCGACCCUGCGGCCGACUACAAAUAUGAGCCAUAAAAUCCUGAAGUUUGGUGCUCGCACACAGCCUACAGUGAUGUUUGGGAGAUAACUUCAUCCACUUAACAGACUACAUCUCUACUUUGACAGGACAUAGAAGUGAUGCCCCCCGUGGCUCGCCGUCCACCUGAGAGAGGCCUCAUACGGCUCCUGACAAAGUGACUAAUCCUCCCCAUUUCACAGCUCCAGCCCGCUGCUCCCUGCAAAUGUUCAAAGCUGAGCCUGUGUGUGUGUGAUGCGUGACAGGUGGGUGCAUGUCACACAAGUUCAAGGUGUUUCUUUAGUUGUUGUAACAAGCGACUCAGACAGCUGCUGAGCUUUGAGUGAUUAGAGAUAUAACUCCAUCACUGACGCUCCACCUGAGCUACAUCACUUCCUGAUUUCUUGUUGACAGAUUCUUGAAAAUGAGGUUCACCUACACAAGAAAAAAUUUCUCCUCUUGUUCCCUCAGAUUAGAAAGUAAUGUUACCCUCAACUUUGAAAUUAGCAUCUUAUUUCCGGUGAAUCCACCUCCAGUAUCAAGCCUCAGCUGGUGAUAUAAGCCGAGGAAGGAAUAAUCAGAACUAUAAAUCACUGAACUCUGUUCUUGCUGUGUGUCUGCUAGCGCUGAUUGAUUAUGGGAACUACAGUAAGAGGGCGCAGGAGUCUGCGCAAAAUUUGUUUCAGAGGGUGAUCUUUUUAAAGAAAUGGUUCACCCUAAAAUUUAUUUUAAAAAAACAGAGAUGAAGCAAGUACAGCUUCUCUUUGUGUGUGUAUGUGUGUGUUCUGCUGCUGAAAUGUCAUUUUUCACUUUUUAACCUUGAUGUAUUAAGAGUUAGUAAUAAUCUUAAUUACAUGUUAAAUAAGGUAGCUGCGCUUUAAUUACACACUGGACAGGUUAACUAAAUGCAGAACUGUAGUGAAAAGUGUUAUAGUACAAUAAUUAGAAACUAGGUGCAUUGCAGUCUUACUCCAAAUUAAUCCAAAACAACAUUUUUGGAUUGAAUUUCAUUCUUUUUAGAAAUUCUGGUAAAUAUUCAUAAAUAGUUUGGUGCUAUAAAGCAGACUAUUGGUAAUUUUCAUGUCAUUUAUUAGUCAUAUUUUAACACUUCCAGUGAUUCGUGUUGCAGUUGCACAUUUUACAGUAAAGUUUGGAUUAGAGGUGCAUGAUAAAUCAGUCACUAUGUUCACCCCAUGUUUGCCAACUUAACAACUUUUCUGACCAAAACAAUUAAUAUUGGCCAAUGAUUUUUAAAGAUUGGUGAUCGGUCAAAGAAUGAGUGAGUUGCUAGGUAACCAGAGAGCGAGUGAGUUAGUUGAAGCCACCGACUUAAGAUAUAAAGAGGCUGAGCGGCUAUAUUUAUCACAUGUCUAUCGCAAUAUAUGCUGUUCUUGAUGUAUUGUCCAGUCCUGUGAUUAAACUGUAACAAGUUCCU